AAGGAAGGAGCUUGAAAUUAAGUAUCUUGUUGUUACCAAGAAGAUGGAGGUGUAAGGUUCUCUCUUUCUUU
rnacentral:tRNA from 1 species